rnacentral:rRNA from 1 species
GACGAACGCUGGCGGCGUGCCUAAUACAUGCAAGUUGAACGGUCUUUUCUAUGGAAGCUUGCUUCCACUGGGAAGAUAGUGGCGAACGGGUGAGUAACACGUGGGUAACCUGCCCAUAAGAGGGGGAUAACAUCCGGAAACGGGUGCUAAUACCGCAUAGUUUUCUUGAUCGCAUGAUUGAGAAAGGAAAGACGGCCUUUGUGCUGUCGCUUAUGGAUGGACCCGCGGCGUAUUAGUUAGUUGGUGAGGUAACGGCUCACCAAGACGAUGAUACGUAGCCGACCUGAGAGGGUGAUCGGCCACAUUGGGACUGAGACACGGCCCAAACUCCUACGGGAGGCAGCAGUAGGGAAUCUUCCGCAAUGGACGAAAGUCUGACGGAGCAACGCCGCGUGAGUGAAGAAGGUUUUCGGAUCGUAAAACUCUGUUGUCAGAGAAGAACAAGUUGGAGAGUAACUGCUCCAGCCUUGACGGUAUCUGACCAGAAAGCCACGGCUAACUACGUGCCAGCAGCCGCGGUAAUAC